UACGUAGGUGGCAAGCGUUUGUCCGGGAAUUAUUGGGCGUAAAGAGCUUGUAGGCGGUUUUGUCGCGUCUGCUGUGAAAUUUCGGGGCUCAACCCCGAACUUGCAGUGGGUACGGGCAGACUAGAGUGUGGUAGGGGAGACUGGAAUUCCUGGUGUAGCGGUGAAAUGCGCAGAUAUCAGGAGGAACACCGAUGGCGAAGGCAGGUCUCUGGGCCAUAACUGACGCUGAGAAGCGAAAGCGUGGGGAGCGAACAGG
rnacentral:rRNA from 1 species